rnacentral:rRNA from 1 species
GGGGACAACGUUUCGAAAGGAACGCUAAUACCGCAUACGUCCUACUGGAGAAAGCAGGGGACCUUCGGGCCUUGCGCUAUCAGAUGAGCCUAGGUCGGAUUAGCUAGUUGGUGAGGUAAUGGCUCACCAAGGCGACGAUCCGUAACUGGUCUGAGAGGAUGAUCAGUCACACUGGAACUGAGACACGGUCCAG